rnacentral:rRNA from 1 species
UACAGAGGGGGCAAGCGUUGUUCGGAAUUACUGGGCGUAAAGGGCGCGUAGGCGGCCUGCUAAGUCAUCUGUGAAAUCUCCGAGCUUAACUCGGAACUGUCAGCUGAUACUGAUGUGCUAGAGUGCGGAAGGGGCAAUCGGAAUUCUUGGUGUAGCGGUGAAAUGCGUAGAUAUCAAGAGGAACACCUGAGGUGAAGACGGGUUGCUGGGCCGCCACUGACGCUGAGUGCGCGAAAGCCAGGGGAGCAAACGGG